rnacentral:rRNA from 1 species
AGUGAACGCUGGCGGCAGGCCUAACACAUGCAAGUCGAGCGGCAGCGGGGUUCCCGCGAGGGGAUGCCGGCGAGCGGCGGACGGGUGAGGAACACAUCGGAAUCUGCCUGGUUGUGGGGGAUAACGUAGGGAAACUUACGCUAAUACCGCAUGCGACCCUGAGUCGACGGACUGGGGGUGAAAGUGAGGGACCUUCGGGCCUCACGCGACCAGAUGAGCCGAUGUCGGAUUAGCUAGUUGGCGGGGUAACGGCCCGCCAAGGCGACGAUCCGUAGCUGGUCUGAGAGGAUGAUCAGCCACACUGGGACUGAGACACGGCCCAGACUCCUACGGGAGGCAGCAGUGGGGAAUCUUGGACAAUGGGCGCAAGCCUGAUCCAGCCAUG